GCGGGCGUAAUUCAGGGGUAGAAUGCAAGCUUCCCAAGCUUGACGUCGCCGGUUCGAAUCCGGUCGCCCGCUCCA
rnacentral:tRNA from 14 species